AAAUAAACGUGUUUGUGGGUGAAAUGAACGUUUCCGACUGUCUGUGUCUGGGCCAGCCUCCACAAGGUAUAUCAUAAAAAUGGCAGUUAAACUGAUGGUGGAAUAUUGCGUUUGAUCAGAAACUAGUAGUUUAAUUAACAGAUUUUCUUAGUGGCCAUUGUUAGCCUGUCUUUUUUUGGUGAUAACAUAAGGCUUUAGUCAUCACCAUUUUUAUCCUGUGUGGCCUGUAGGGGAUGUCACAAAGUCCCAAAACCCUAGACACAACUAGACUAACACAGUUCCGGGUUCAAAUACCUGUUCUGAUUUUCAGAAAUCCCUUUAACAGGUGUUUUAAGUCAGUCCAGCACAGCACAACACAAUUUAUUACGUUACAUUACAGUCCUUCUUUUUUCACUCCUCCCAGAAAGCCUUCUCCAUCAAAUCUUACUCCCUAAGUGAUCAGACUGGCUUCUUUUAUGCCAGACCUGAGAAUAGUUGUGGUGCCAUAGCACUGCACCCCGGAAGCAGUUCCAGGUCAGUUGGAGCAGGCAUAAAGUAGGAAAGACCUUCCUUGGUAGCGGCCCCCAAGGCACCCAACAGGACUGUUUUCCCAGACUACAGCUAUCGUGAACCUCUGUGGGAACUCAAACUGGGGUCACACCAGUGGAGCACCGCCACCUUGUCUACUGGAGGACUCUUUGCCCCCUUACUGAGCUGUCUCCCAUUGUCCUUGCGUUAUCUUACACCAGAGGCAGGGAGCAGCACUCAUCCUGGCUGGGACACUCAUCAUCUUGCUGUUCUUCUGACCAAGUGAGGGUAUGGCCUUCCAUCCCAGCAUGUGGGAUCCUCAAGGUACCCCGAUGUGCCAGAGAGAUUUGUUUGCUCAGACUUCUCUACCCUGUCCCAGAAUUCAAAGUUGACUGAAUGACCAACUCACUCAUCAACAAAAACACCACUUCUUGUUGAGAUUUGGCAGGAUGGUACAUCUAGGCCAAGUUGCAGGGAGUUGAACUUUGUCUGUUCUGUACUGGAUACAAAACAGGAGCUAAUUGUUGAUCGGACCCAAGUUUUAUUUAAGGUCAAGAUUGCUUAAGAACUCUGUAAUGGACUGGCAGUUCUUCCUUGCACUCGAUAAUGGAGGGAUAGGAUCCACAACUCAGCCCCGCACCCCAGGACUGUAUUUUACAGGUUUAAGAAUGUUUUGUUAUGAUUGUAAGAAAGAGAAUAAGAGAUGUGCAUCAAAUGAACUAAGUAUCUCUGUGCCAUCCAGCUAUUGAACACCCCAAUGUCAUUUGACUUUGCUCAUAUAUACUCGUCACUCUUGUUGUCGUCACGCAAAGUCCUUGAGAUGGUCCAACCAUAUUAGCACUUGCUCACUGAAAGGACCAAGUAUUCCUUUGGUAUAUGCUGUCCCUAGCUACUGUAAUUUUUUCCCACUUAUUUGCUGUUUACAAUAGAG